CUGGUUCCGGUUCACGUCCGUCUUCAGAGCGCGACGACCCGGCGACC
rnacentral:ncRNA from 1 species